rnacentral:rRNA from 1 species
AAGUCGUAACAAGGUUUCCGUAGGUGAACCUGCGGAAGGAUCAUUACCGAGAGCCGUCCUUCGGACUGGGGGGUUGAUAGCCCCGACUCUUUUUACCCUAUGUCAACAAACCUUCGCGUCUUUGGCGAGGCAUUUGCGGGUCCUGUGGCCCUUGCGUGCCCGCCGGAAGCCCUUGAAACUCGGUUUUAUCGGUGCUGUCUGAGUAAAAACACAAUAACUAAAACUUUCAACAACGGAUCUCUUGGUUCUGGCAUCGAUGAAGAACGCAGCGAAAUGCGAUAAGUAAUGUGAAUUGCAGAAUUCAGUGAAUCAUCGAAUCUUUGAACGCACAUUGCGCCCUUUGGUAUUCCGAAGGGCAUGCCUGUUCGAGCGUCAUUGCACUCCUCAAGCCUAGCUUGGUAUUGGGCCUUCGUCUCGGUGGGACGUGCCCGAAAGUUAGUGGCGGUCCAGCGAGACUUCAAGCGCAGUAAAUCAAACCCCGCUUUGGAAGGCUCUCGCUGCGCGCCGGCCAGACAACCCCCGAAUUUUAAUGGUUGACCUCGGAUCAGGUAGGGAUACCCGCUGAACUUAA